AUGAACGCUAGCGACAGGCUUAACACAUGCAAGUCGAGGGGCAGCACAGGUAGCAAUACCGGGUGGCGACCGGCGCACGGGUGAGUAACGCGUAUGCAACUUGCCUAUCAGAGGGGGAUAACCCGGCGAAAGUCGGACUAAUACCGCAUGAAGCAGGGGCCCCGCAUGGGGAUAUUUGCUAAAGAUUCAUCGCUGAUAGAUAGGCAUGCGUUCCAUUAGGCAGUUGGCGGGGUAACGGCCCACCAAACCGACGAUGGAUAGGGGUUCUGAGAGGAAGGUCCCCCACAUUGGUACUGAGACACGGACCAAACUCCUACGGGAGGCAGCAGUGAGGAAUAUUGGUCAAUGGGCGUAAGCCUGAACCAGCCAAGUCGCGUGAGGGAUGAAGGUUCUAUGGAUCGUAAACCUCUUUUAUAAGGGAAUAAAGUGCGGGACGUGUCCCGUUUUGUAUGUACCUUAUGAAUAAGGAUCGGCUAACUCCGUGCCAGCAGCCGCGGUAAUACGGAGGAUCCGAGCGUUAUCCGGAUUUAUUGGGUUUAAAGGGUGCGUAGGCGGCCUUUUAAGUCAGCGGUGAAAGUCUGUGGCUCAACCAUAGAAUUGCCGUUGAAACUGGGGGGCUUGAGUAUGUUUGAGGCAGGCGGAAUGCGUGGUGUAGCGGUGAAAUGCAUAGAUAUCACGCAGAACCCCGAUUGCGAAGGCAGCCUGCCAAGCCAUUACUGACGCUGAUGCACGAAAGCGUGGGGAUCAAACAGGAUUAGAUACCCUGGUAGUCCACGCAGUGAACGAUGAUCACUAGCUGUUUGCGAUACACUGUAAGCGGCACAGCGAAAGCGUUAAGUGAUCCACCUGGGGAGUACGCCGGCAACGGUGAAACUCAAAGGAAUUGACGGGGGCCCGCACAAGCGGAGGAACAUGUGGUUUAAUUCGAUGAUACGCGAGGAACCUUACCCGGGUUUGAACGCAUUCGGACCGAGGUGGAAACACCUUUUCUAGCAAUAGCCGUUUGCGAGGUGCUGCAUGGUUGUCGUCAGCUCGUGCCGUGAGGUGUCGGCUUAAGUGCCAUAACGAGCGCAACCCUUGCCACUAGUUACUAACAGGUGAUGCUGAGGACUCUGGUGGGACUGCCAGCGUAAGCUGCGAGGAAGGCGGGGAUGACGUCAAAUCAGCACGGCCCUUACAUCCGGGGCGACACACGUGUUACAAUGGCGUGGACAAAGGGAGGCCACCUGGCGACAGGGAGCGAAUCCCCAAACCACGUCUCAGUUCGGAUCGGAGUCUGCAACCCGACUCCGUGAAGCUGGAUUCGCUAGUAAUCGCGCAUCAGCCAUGGCGCGGUGAAUACGUUCCCGGGCCUUGUACACACCGCCCGUCAAGCCAUGGGAGCCGGGGGUACCUGAAGUCCGUAACCGAAAGGAUCGGCCUAGGGUAAAACUGGUGACUGGGGCU
rnacentral:rRNA from 1 species